rnacentral:lncRNA from 1 species
UGGAGAUAAAACUCCUGCUGACUUUACCAGUAUGAUCCUGAAAACAAAGCACCCUCAAAGCAAUGGCCAUCAAACUCCAAUGGUCAUGCAACUGGAGACUCUGACAAUGGCCUCUUCUGCUGGGAACCCUUAGAUAGACCUCUGAGGGAGCUCUGGCUGCCGUUUCUCCACUGUCAGCAAGAAGCACUCUUCUUGGAUCCACUGAUCUACUUUCUAUCACUACAGAUGAGUCGGCUUUUUCUAGAAGUUUACAUAUGUAUGUAAUCAAUGCCUCAGGUAGCUUCCUCGUAUACCUGUGCUGAACAGUGCUGUCCUGAACACUCGUGAGGGCUCUUCUGCAGGUCUAGGGAGCUGUUUCUCCAUGCAGCUCUCUCCUCUCCUAUCCGCUGCCCUGGGAACUCUAGUCUGGUCUCCACGGACUCUCCACAAAAAUCUCCAUCCCUUCCACUUGUGCUCUCCGUUCCUGCCCUGUGGUCUGGAAACUCUCAAAGCAAUAAACGAGAGCACUCAAAGGACACACCUCAUUUGCUUCUCAUUUCUAAGAGCUCACAUUCCUUCAUUGCCUGAUGUGCAGUGUCUUGAAACCUGUUUCAUAUAUUUUAUCAAGUUUUUUUUUAGUUGUUUUUCAGGUGGGAGAGUAAAUUGGUCCCUAUCACUCUAUCUCAGAAGCCGAAGUCUCCAUAGUUUACUUAAAAGUGUGUAAACUUCCAAGUAUAUGGAAUUGUCCAGAUACCUUUCUAUUAUUGGUUCCUAGUUUAAUUACCUUUUGGUCUCUGAACACCUUCUGUGGUUUCCUUUAUUUUAAAUUGCUAAGGUUUAAAAGUUUGUUUUGUGGCCCACUUUAUGGAAUAUUGUCUAUCUUGGUGAACUUUCCAUGUACAUUGCAAAGAAUGUAUAUUCUGCUGUUGUUGGCUGGACUGUUCUGUAAAUCUCAGCGUAUUAGUCAGGGUUAUCCAGAGAAACAGAACCAAUAGGAGAUAUUUAUAUACAUAGUUGGAUCACAUAACUGUGGGGCUGACAUGUCUGAAAUUCACAGGGCAGGCUGCAGGCUGGAAGUUCUGGCAAGAGCUGAUAUUGUAGUUUGGGAGGCACAAUUCCUACCAGUUCCAGGGGCUUUCAACUAAUUGGAUAGGGCCCAUCUACAUUACGGAAGAUAAUUUGCUUUACCCAAAGUCUACUGGCUUAAAUGUUAAUCAAUCUAAGAUCUACCUUCAUAGCAAUAUCUACACUGGUAUUUGACCAACAUCUGGGUGUCAUCACCUAGCCGAAUAGACACAUAAAAUUAACCAUCACUGUUAGCGGUGGAAGACAUCCAAGUUAUCCAAAGUUACCUGUGGUGCAUCUGUGUGAGUUGGCAGCAACUCCAGUCCUUGCCUCCUCAGAAGAAAGAAUUUGACUGAGGGGCAUAAAGCAGAAGAAGAGACUGCCGCAAGUUUCAGGGCAGGAAUGAAAAUUUAUUAAAAGGCUUUAGAACAGUAAGGAAAGAAAAGAAGGAAAGUACAACUUGAAAGUACAAGAGGUCAAGCUGUGCACUUGGUUUCUCAAGGGCCAGGCAGGCAACUUGAGAAGUCAAGUGCAUAGCCUGACCUCUUGACUUGGGGUUCUAUAGGUUGGCAUAACUCCGGGAUCUUAUUGGGAAGCUGCUGAUCAGUUUCGAGUGUUUUCUACCUAUUAGGAGACUGCCUUUCUGUGGUGCCAGCCAUGACCAAUUAUUACUUUAGAGAAACGGUUAACAACCGCCUGACCAUCACCUGAUGGUUGCCCAACACUCCUGGUGUGUGUGUUGUGGGGAGCCCUCUCCUGCCUUGCUCCAGGCUACCUACUGUAACAUCACAGUCAGGUCCAGUUGGCCUAUGAUGUUCAUGACUGCUAAAUGCUUGCUAAUUUUGUCUUUUUGUCCUACCAAUUACUGAUAGAGAAGAGUCUCCAAAUAUAAUUGUGCUUUGAAUAUUUCUUCUUCAGCUUUAUUAAUUUUACCUCAUGUUUUUUGAACUUCUGUUUUAGGGACGUACACUGAGGACAUUUAUGGUUUUUGGUGAACUUACUCUUUCAUCAUUUUAUAAUGCUCCUCCCUCGUAAUUUUCCUUAUUCUGAAAUUUACUUUGAUCUUAAAAUUACGGUAGCAGUUUUCUUAUAAUUUGUGUUUGUAUCGUGUAUCUUUUUACAUCCUUUUAUUUUUAACCUAUUCAAAUCAUUGUAUUUAAAGUGAUUGUAUUGGAGAUAGCAUAUAAUUGAUUUUUGCCCCAAUCUGAUAAUUCCUGUAUUUUAAUAGGAGUUAUUUUUGAUGUAGUUAGAUUUAUGCCUACCAUUUUAUUGUUGGUUUUAUGUUUGUCUGCUCUGUUUUUUUGCUUUGUUUUGACUUUCUGUUGAAUUAUUGAAUAUAU